GCGCGCGCCGCAGCCGCCCGCCCCACCAACCGAUCCCGGCAGCGGGACGUAACGGACCACGGCGCAGCUCCAACCCCACCGCGCUGUGCUCUGCGUGGCGCUGCGCUCCGCACAUCGCGUCGGUGGGCGCCGCACUCCGCGGCUGAGCGGCGCUGCUCCCAACGCCGCGCGGGGCCCGGCCGGUGCUGCCCCACGCUGGCGGCCUCUGCCGCUCUGAAAACCAGGCGCUGUGGGGAAACGCAGCGCUGUCAGGAGCCGGCAGCGGACGUGGGUCCCUUUUCCUGUCACAGCCCUGCCCAAACCACAGGAAAAGCUGGUGCCCAGAGUAACGUUGUCUCAGCUUACCUGCAUCUUUUUUGUCUUCUAGCCGUGUGAAGCACUGCGAAAAGAAAGAAGAAAGGACGUACAUCAUUUUGUUAUCUUCUUCAUUUUCACAUUCAUGGAUUCCUAUGAUUUGUGCUCCUCGAGCAGCUGGGCUCAGUCCCCACACGCAGUGCUCUCGGGGUCACAGGCAGCAGCACGGGGUGGGGACCCCAGGAGGUGACGUGGGGCUCUGUGUCUGACUUGUGCUACAGAGGACAACAAAUGCACACGAGAUCCAAGCACUGCAGCCACAAGCAGGAGGAAGUGAUGCCCAUGGAGGCGGUGAGAGUAACGGAGCGGUGUCACUGCUGGAAGGAAAGGAGGGGAGGGGACAAAAGCCCCGUCCUCAGGAGACUCCAUCAUGCCCUCCCGUCCCCUCUGUGCUGCCCUCAGCACCUUCUGUCCCCCAGCAAACUUUCCACAUAGCCACAGCUCCACCUCACUCAACCCCAAAGCUUUAAUCCCACUGACAGCCCUGCAUCUUUCUGCCGUUUCCAGAUAUCCUUCUGCUCUCCAUAGCGGGUAGCUGAGCAUCACAGACACAGGGAGGGAAAAAGGAAAGAAUAAAAAGAGAAGGCUGAAGCAGAGCCCUAAGCCUGCA